AGCAGUCGCCACGGUAAUACGAAGGGUGCAAGCGUUAAUCGGAAUUACUGGGCGUAAAGCGUGCGUAGGCGGUUUGUUAAGUCUGUUGUGAAAUCCCCGGGCUCAACCUGGGAAUGGCAAUGGAUACUGGCAAGCUAGAGUGUGUCAGAGGAUGGUGGAAUUCCCGGUGUAGCGGUGAAAUGCGUAGAGAUCGGGAGGAACAUCAGUGGCGAAGGCGGCCAUCUGGGACAACACUGACGCUGAGGCACGAAAGCGUGGGGAGCAAACAGGAUUAGAUACCCCUGUAGUCCCUGUCUCUUAUAC
rnacentral:rRNA from 1 species